rnacentral:rRNA from 1 species
UACGAAUGGGGCUAGCGAUGGUCGGAAUCACUGGGCGUAAAGCGCACGUAGGCGGCUUCUUAAGUCAGGGGUGAAAUCCUGGGGCUCAACCCCAGAACUGCCCUUGAUACUGAGGAGCUUGAGUCCGGGAGAGGUGAGUGGAACUCCGAGUGUAGAGGUGAAAUUCGUAGAUAUUCGGAAGAACACCAGUGGCGAAGGCGGCUCACUGGCCCGGUACUGACGCUGAGGAGCGAAAGCGUGGGGCGCAAACAGG